rnacentral:rRNA from 1 species
CGCCUUGCCAGCCCGCUCAGAACUCAAAGGAAUUGACGGGGGCCCGCACAAGCGGUGGAGUAUGUGGUUUAAUUCGAUGCAACGCGAAGAACCUUACCUGGUCUUGACAUCCCGGAGACCCUUAGGAAACUAGGGGGUGCUUCCAUCUGGAAGAAUCUGGAGACAGGUGCUGCAUGGCUGUCGUCAGCUCGUGUCGUGAGAUGUUGGGUUAAGUCCCGCAACGAGCGCAACCCUUGCCUUUAGUUGCCAGCAGUUCGGCUGGGCACUCUAAAGGGACUGCCGGUGUUAAACCGGAGGGAGGUGGGGAUGACGUCAAGUCCUCAUGGCCUUUAUGACCAGGGCUACACACGUACUACAAUGGCCGAUACAAAGGGCAGCGACACUGCGAGGUGAAGCCAAUCCCGUAAAAUCGGUCUCAGUCCGGAUUGGAGUCUGCAACUCGACUCCAUGAAGUUGGAAUCGCUAGUAAUCGUGGAUCAGCAUGCCACGGUGAAUACGUUCCCGGGCCUU